CAAUAGCGUAUAUUAAAGUUGUUGCGGUUAAAAGCUCGUAGUUGGACUUGUACGAAGGUUCGUUGGUCCGCCCUUUGGGUGUGUACUUUACGGUGUCCGUCGUCUCUCUGGAGAACGUUGCCAUGCUCACGCGUGGUGCGGUAUCCGGAGCAUUUACUUUGAGGAAAUUAGAGUGUUCUCGGCAGGCAUUUGCCUUGAAUAUGUUAGCAUGGAAUAAUGCGAAAAGGCCUCGGUUUUUCUUGUUGGUUUCUAACCCCGAGGUGAUGAUUAAUAUGAGCUGUUGGGGGCAUCUGUAUUUAACUGUCAGAGGUGAAAUUCUUGGAUUUGUUAAGGACAGACUAGUGCGAAAGCAUUUGCCAAAGAUGUUUUUCUUGAUCAAGAACGAAAGUUGGGGGAUCGAAGAUGAUCAGAUACCGU
rnacentral:rRNA from 1 species